rnacentral:lncRNA from 1 species
GCAGCACAGCGCAGCGCUCCUGGAGAGGCUGUGGGUUCGUGGCAUCCGCGCCGCGGCCGCAAGUAUAGCAGGUUUCGUACCUGGUGUUCAUCGCCGUUAAGUCAUCGCUGCUGCCACCCAGGCACGGCUCUCUAUGCCGCCGCUCCCUCCACCCUCUAGGCACUGCCUGCCGUAAGAAUUUUAACUGCGACACUCGCUUCAGCAGGAGAUUUUAUUGGCUGCAGACACACGCAGCAUCUUCUUGCGCUCCUCCUUGAGGUGGAUGGGCAGCUAGCUGGAGAUGACACAGGAUGAUGCGCAUCUUUCGCACGCUGGCUCCAAGAUCUCCGCUGCCAGAUGCAGCAACAAAGCUUCUUUGUACAGACAGCCCUGGACACACUUCCAGCAGCAAUUCUUCUUGCAGGAACUGGUGCAAGAACAGGAUUUAUUCGUGGCACAGGAGCAGUUGGUGUCCACUGGGAGUGGAGGCAGAAGAGAGACCAGAGCGGUGACUUCAACAGAAGUGGAGUAAAUAAAGAUGAUCACAGAACUUGGAAGCUGACGAAAUUAAUUUUGGAAAAGAGCUGGCUUGGAGCAUGACAGAAGAAUUCGAUGGAAAGAGUGCUGGGAGCCCAACUCAAGACUGAUGUGUGCUUGGCAGGCAGUCUACCCCCGAUCUCAGUCCUCCAGCCUUUCGGCCUUUUUUCCUUUUUGGAGACAGAAUUGCAUCAUAUGGCAUCCUACACAGUCCUGCCUCAGUCUCUGCAGUGCUGGGAUUGUAGGCCUAUGCCACCUAGCCUUUCUACAAUACAAACAAAUAUGAAAAGAAGAGGGACUUCUUUGGAAAGGAGUACAGGGACUAUGGAAGAGAUGAAAAGAUAAUAUUGUCAGAAAUUAUGCCGCUUUUGAAGAGAUAAACUGAACUCUUGAUUCUGUGAGGUUAUUAAAGAAUAUUAAUUUUCAAAUCACGGUAAAAUCUUGAUUCAGCAACACAUGAGGAUAAUCAUUGUGUCCAUGGAAACCUUGGGAAGCAGUUGAAAGCCUGGUCCCUCUUGCCUGGAGCAUUAACACAACGUGGCUGCAAAGUUAGUCCUUUCCCGCUACCAUCUCCUGAAUACUGGGACUAACUACACGUAUGCACGAACCUGCCCAUCUUUGCCUCUGUUAACAGCUGCCACUGUCUCUUCACGACAUGAUGGCUGACCUAGGUUGGAAGGAACAGAGCCAGUUGGCCAUGGACUGAAACUUUUGGAACUGAUUCUGAGGAGUUAAUGUUUCCAUGAAUAUCUCAGAAGGAGAUGUGGACAAACGAACAGUUAUCUCACUCCUGUAGGUUGGACUACAGUGAUCACUGAGUAGGAGCUUCGUCUUUAAAAUCUGGGGUGUGCUGUUAUGGUUGGUAUUCAUUUUCCUUUACCCGCUUUCCCCAUACCUCCAUUUAUAAUUUUAUUGCUGCUCAUAGCUCCAGAAGGAUAUAGUAACAGAGCAGGCAUGGCCUCAGUGUGGUAAGCUAAGUGAGAACAGGAAGUGGAACCAGGGUAGAAAACCCCAGUCUUGCCCCUAGUGACACACCUCAAGCAAGGUUCUCCUUCUGAAAGGUCCCAUUACAUUCCCAAAUGUAGCCACCACCUGGGAUAUGAGUGUUCAAAUACAUGAGGUAGGGCCACGGUGUUCCUUCAAAGCACCACAGAGGGCAGAAUGUACACCCUGCUAGAAUAGCUUUCUAUGAAAGGAUCCAUCUCUUCACUGGAGCAGGCAGACAUAUGAAGAAGACAACUUGGAGUGGUCGUGAAAGGAUUUGAGGUUUGGCAUGGACUCUAAGAAGCACGAGAUUUGUGGUUUUCCUUCUUUGUUUCUUGCUAGGUAGUCCUGGCUGUCUAGUAACUACCUACAAAGAUCAAGGAGACCCCAAUCUUGUAGCAAUCCUGCUGCUGCCUCACAAUUGUUAGGAUUAUAGACAUGGGCACAUGUUCAUUAGAAAGUUGCACUGUUCUCUAAUUCAUCUUUUAAGAUAAACUAUAGAGGGAUGAAGAUUAGCAUGUUACACCACCACAGAUAGAAACCAUUCUAGUAUCACGAAACAUCCAACUCAUGUAGAAUUUCCAUUCGCUGUUUGGGAUGAUAGAGAGAUGGAAUUGAGUUUUUAGAAGGUAAACCACACAAGAGAGUCUAGGGAACUGACAGAGCCUGGCUGGACUGCACAGUUCGUCCUCAAACGACUUUUUACUGACCCAGCUCCUGAGGAAAGGACCCUGGUGUCUGAACUUCAACGCUGAUUUAAUAAUCAUUGUUUUCAUGACUGGUCCUUUAGAAAUCUGGCCUGCUUUAUAUUUGCCCCUGGGGCUUAGACAAGGGAGAAAAAUGGAAAAUACUGUCCGAGGUAACCACAGCCACACAGAACCUCAUACACCAAGUGGUUAGCCUUAUCAUAGAGCACAGGUGCCUGUUCUCAGUCACAUGCUAGCCCUGUCUUAGGAUUUUGUUUACAUUAACCAUUCUAUUUCACAGUAUUAAUGUCCUUAUACACAAGAUACACAGAAAUCUUUGUUGUGUUAGACAUCAACAAUGAAAAAUCCCUCAGGCCCAAAUAUCAGAAGAUAGCACGAAAAUACCAAGUCAGAACGAAGAGGGUGGCCAGUGGAUUUGAAGGUAGAUGCAGACUUUAUCAUGGUUACUCCUACAAUACAGAACAUUCUUGUUUAUUAGUCUGAUACCAGCCAUCUGAUGUCAUGUUGGCAACUAGAGAAGCUUUAUAUAAGAACAGGAGCUCUGUAAGAAAAUAUUGUAGGAAUUAGGCUUUAUAAGACAAUCGUGGCCCUUGGCAGUCUUGGUUAAGUCUCUUAGGAUGGUUAGGGUAGAACUUAGGUGUGAAAAGUCUUGACUUUCAAUUAUUCUACAUUGAAUUCCCAGAACACCUGAGUCAAGCUUUAUUGUGUUUAUUACCCUUGGUCUUGCCUCCUCAUUCUUGUGUGGACUCCUUAACUCCUGCCUCUCUUUACCCAACCCAAAUGUGUUUCAGCAAUCUUCUUUCCCUGCCCAGUACUGGAUCUGUGAAAAGCUGAAUCAUGAAUCAGUGAGUGUGCGGAUUGGAACCCAAGUUGCUCUCUGGAUAGAACGAAAGGAGUCGUGCCCCAAGAAGAUGGAGAGGGAAGUUAUGAAAUGCUGUGACCAAAUAACAAAUGCUGAUGUUUGGGGAGAUAACUGUUUCCCAUAGGAAAUAGAGUGAAUGCGAUGUCUUUCUUUUGUGAGGGAUUCAUAGACCGCUUCUCAACGCUUGUUACAUGUUACUCCUUUUUUCGAGAUUUUUAUUUACCUAACUGGGAAAGAAACCAGAACAAGGUUUUCAUUGAAUUCUGAUACAGGUAUUUAAAGACUUACGGACAAGAUAUAGAAGAAGAAGUGGUAAUUAACUGAUUAAAGAAGUACAGUUUAUAUCCAGUAGACAGACAGGCUCCAGACAUCCUUAGUGCUGUCUUAGCAUCAAAGGUUAAUCUACCUAAUACUUGUCAUCCUGAAAUGCAUGGUGGAACAUCCAACAGACAAGAGCUACUUCAGGGAAGGACUAUGAUUUUUGUCGUGGAAGACAUUUAACACAGGGCAGCUCCUGUGCACUUACAUGAUAGAUAUUGCUCUUCCGGGGACUCUGAAUGCUCAUCCCACUUUCAGCUCACUAGGCACAUCGAACUAGAAAUUUUAUCAUCUCGUGAAUUAGUCCAAUACCUGAAGGAGCAAGAGAACCAACACCCAGUUGACAAGAAUAUGACCUGUUGAUUGAAGACCAUUAAGAAAGUAACUUGAUUCAGUUGGACUGGACUUUUUUAUUCUAUUGAAAAAGGAAUUUAUUUCCCCUCAGUGAACGUAACAUGAUCAACAUUUUGAAAGUUGUGAACAUGCAUAGUUCUAUAAUUUACAAAAUAAUUAUAAAAAUCUGAGUAUGGAUGCAGCAUAAUUUCAGAACAGAAUAGCCAUCAUACUUUUUAUAUAUCUUAAAUUCGAGUUUUCAAGAGUAUAUUUCUAUGUUAUAUCCUUUGAUUAGUACAAUAUAAAAUCUACAUCUAAUAUGUACUUCAGGUUUUAUUAGAUCAUGCCAUAUUACUGUACAAUUUGGACUUUUCCAUUUUUAUAUAAAAUGUAACAUGCAUUGUACAUUAAUAUUUAUAUAUCUUGUUUAUUUAUAUAUCUUUAGAAUUAAUUUCUGCCAAUUAUUUUCUUUAUUUGAAUACUUGGGGUAUCAUAAAGGUGCUGUUGAGGUAUUCUCAAUAUGCUUGUACAACUUCCUGCCUGUAGUUAAUAAAUGUGGAUAUUUCAUUAAACAAUUGAAAUAUAACAUUUUGAUGGUAUCUGAUUGUAGUUCUAUAGAUUGUAAAAUAUAUGUAGUUGCAUAUCUUCAAAAAAAAAAAAAAAAAAA